rnacentral:tRNA from 1 species
GCGGGCGUGGCGGAAUGGCAGACGCGCCAGGUUUAGGUCCUGGUGGGGCAACCCGUGUAGGUUCAAGUCCUAUCGCCCGCACCA